rnacentral:lncRNA from 1 species
UCCGCCUCUUUGUCUGCUCUGGGACUUGGAACAAAAGGGGAAACUCUGAUGAACUCCUUCUCCAGCUCCCUGGACGCCCGAGUAUCUCUUUCUCGCAACUUUGUCAACGCGACUUUCUCCGCUGUCAGGCUGCGCAAAAGUAUCCUAGCGCCUCGCAGGCUGCAACAAUGGAAACAAUGUCCCUUCAAAGUGCGACGAAGUGGAGGGAGAAGGUGUCAUACCAGCGACUCCAAGAGUCAUGUCACCCACUUAGCAGGAGUACUUCUACUGAAAUGCCUUCGAAUUUCUCUUACUGGAUAUAUACCUACCAGCCGCUAGCAUGAAGAUGCCAGGACCGCUGCAAGUUAGCACUGGACAAAGUAGCAUCAACUUCUUCAUUUAGAGUUUCUUCAGUUAAAUUGCUGGGAUUUUCGACAAGGCUUUCCUUAUGUGGAUUAUUGGAGUGUGAUGCCCGAGAAUUCUCUACUUGUAGAAGCACGCCCACGGGACUGCAGAAGCCUUCACACCCACCCAGCACGCUCAGAUCAUCCAGUAACCAACCCAGGAAGUUCUUGUAAGCAUGCAUUUCUUAGUCAACACUGAAUGCCUUUAGACCGAGGUCAACCUUUUCAGCUGGUACCGUGGUUUACACUGCUGAUGGGAAUGAGUGAUGGCCAUCCAGUGACCAGCUGGAUCUGACUGCCUUACAAGACGCAUGUGUAUGAUUAAGAGAGAGACAUUCGUGACUCCCAGAUGUACCUCCUUCCUGUCCCACAGUGUUCCUGAAGGGAGUGGAACCAUCUAGGGAGGCCUGCCACUGUUUGCUGAGCUCCGGGUGAGGAUGAAGACACUUUGACAUGGCCAGCUUCAGACUCGGGAUCUGUCGGUGUUAGCAGCCGAAGGAGAAUGAGGAGGAAGAGGAGGAGAAAGAGGAGGAGGAAGUAAGACAGAGGGGGACAAGAGGACCAAGAGGGCACAUGGCUGAGGAGGAGGAGAACAACAACAACAACAACAACAACAACAACAACAAGAAGCUUGGUGUUUUCAGGAUGUGUUCCUGAGUCUCGUGAGUAGCACAUGGCAGUUGUUGUCACCUUGGGCUGAGCCGUGAAGAUUCUCACCCUCCCUUGUUGGGGAUGAACUCCGGGAUUCUAAGGAGAGGUCAGCAGGUGUUUCACAGACUGUUCCUGUUGGAGGAUUUGUCUGAUACUCUUCUCCUGAUUAGUCUGGGCUCUACAUUUCCCCAAGGGUGAAACUUGGAAGCCCUCUCCAGGAUGCAGCAGGUAGCUGAGGAGAAAACGAAGACUGACCAGCCCAGAGCUCAGAGCUUCCUCCCAUGCUCAGGAUUUACCACCAAUGCCAUUACAUCGGCCUCUUCUUGUAUGCCUCUGGAAACCACAUGUGUCCUCUGUUUGUAAUGGUUUGGCUAUGGUUGCUGGCCCCUCUUGGACAUUGUUUUCAGAACUUAAAGAAACAUUGCUUUAAAGAUUUAUUAGAACAUAUUUAAAAUAAAACCAUCUUCUCAUUUA